rnacentral:rRNA from 1 species
GGCCUAACACAUGCAAGUCGAGCGGUAGCGGGCCUGACCACUCUCGAGUGGUUCAGGCGCCGACGAGCGGCGGACGGGUGCGUAACACGUAGGAAUCUGCCCGGUAGUGGGGGAUAGCCCGGAGAAAUUCGGAUUAAUACCGCAUACGCCCUAUGGGGGAAAGCAGGGGAUCCGUUCUUUUAGGAGAGUGGACCUUGCGCUAUCGGAUGAGCCUGCGUCGGAUUAGCUAGUUGGUGGGGUAAAGGCCUACCAAGGCGACGAUCCGUAGCUGGUCUGAGAGGAUGAUCAGCCACACUGGGACUGAGACACGGCCCAGACUCCUACGGGAGGCAGCAGUGGGGAAUAUUGCACAAUGGGCGAAAGCCUGAUGCAGCCAUGCCGCGUGUGUGAAGAAGGCCCUAGGGUUGUAAAGCACUUUCAGUGGGGAGGAAAGGUCGAAGGUUAAUACCCUUUAGCUGUGACGUUACCCACAGAAGAAGCACCGGCUAACUCCGUGCCAGCAGCCGCGGUAAUACGGAGGGUGCGAGCGUUAAUCGGAAUUACUGGGCGUAAAGCGUGCGUAGGCGGCCAUUUAAGUUGGAUGUGAAAGCCCCGGGCUCAACCUGGGAACUGCAUCCAAAACUGGGUGGCUUGAGUGCGAGAGAGGAGUGUGGAAUUUCCUGUGUAGCGGUGAAAUGCGUAGAUAUAGGAAGGAACACCAGUGGCGAAGGCGACACUCUGGCUUGACACUGACGCUGAGGUACGAAAGCGUGGGGAGCAAACAGGAUUAGAUACCCUGGUAGUCCACGCCGUAAACGAUGUCUACUAGUUGUCGGUGGUCUUGUACUGCUGGUAACGCAGCUAACGC